UGAGAGAUCUCUUAGCAGCACUCAGGGUGGUCCAAACAUGCAACCCGUGCAUCCUUUUGUGAGAGCAGAAAUGUUGCCAGUGGGUACCUCAUAAGGCCUUGUGAAGGAGGCGGGUCAAUGAUACACAUUGUUGAUCAUAUGGAUUUGGAGCCAUGGAGUGUACCUGAAGUGUUACAUCCAUUCUAUGAAUCAUCUAUGGUGCUUGCUCAGAAGAUGACAAUGGCAGCUUUACGCCAGCUUAGGCAAAUCUCACAAGAGGUUUCUCCUUCAACUGUCACCAGCUGGGGCAGGUGUCC